AGCCUUCUGUAUCCGUGCUGAGAUUUAGUCACACACUAGACCACAAUGACUGAUGAGAAUCGCAAGAUAAGUGAAGCG
rfam:Schistosoma margrebowiei strain Zambia genome assembly, scaffold: SMRZ_scaffold0002122